rnacentral:rRNA from 1 species
CCUACGGGGUGCAGCAGUGAGGAAUAUUGGUCAAUGGGCGAGAGCCUGAACCAGCCAAGUCGCGUGAGGGAGUACUUCUCUAUGGGUUGUAAACCUCUUUUGUCGGGGAGCAAAAGCCGGACGUGUCCGGCUGUGAGAGUACCCGAAGAAAAAGCAUCGGCUAACUCCGUGCCAGCAGCCGCGGUAAUACGGAGGAUGCGAGCGUUAUCCGGAUUUAUUGGGGUUAAAGGGUGCGCAGGCGGAUUUUUAAGUCAGCGGUCAAAUCGUGGGGCUCAACCCCAUCCAGCCGUUGAAACUGGGGAUCUAGAGUGUGCGAGAGGUAUGCGGAAUGCGUGGUGUAGCGGUGAAAUGCAUAGAUAUCACGCAGAACCCCGAUUGCGAAGGCAGCAUACCGGUGCACAACUGACGCUCAGGCACGAAAGCGUGGGUAUCGAACAGGAUUAGAUACCCCGGUAGUC